GGAUCUCAAUUCGGACGUCGUUUGACUAUCGAACGGAUAAUCGCAUAGUGUGCGUUAUCCGGUUCGAUAGGUUGGGACCGUUGGAUGGUCCCAAAUUUAAUAUAUGUUGAUCUAGGUAUUUCUAGGAUCGUGUAGGAUUUCACGGAUUGUGAAUCGGAGCCCCGGAUGUUCCGAAUAAUAAUUUUAAAGUUUAUAUUUUAUAUU
rnacentral:lncRNA from 1 species